UACGGGGGGGGCAAGCGUUGUUCGGAAUUACUGGGCGUAAAGGGCUCGUAGGCGGCCAACUAAGUCGGACGUGAAAUCCCUCGGCUUAACCGGGGAACUGCGUCCGAUACUGGAUGGCUUGAGGUUGGGAGAGGGAUGCGGAAUUCCAGGUGUAGCGGUGAAAUGCGUAGAUAUCUGGAGGAACACCGGUGGCGAAGGCGGCAUCCUGGGCCAAUUCUGACGCUGAGUGAGCGAAAGCCAGGGGAGCAAACGGG
rnacentral:rRNA from 1 species